GUGCCCUCCGGUCUGGGAUAACCCUGGGAAACUAGGGCUAAUACCGGAUACGUGCUUUGGCAGAAAGGUUUACUGCCGGAGGAUCGGCCCGCGUCUGAUUAGCUUGUUGGUGGGGUAACGGCCUACCAAGGCGACGAUCAGUAGCUGGUCUGAGAGGAUGAUCAGCCACACUGGGACUGAGACACGGCCCAGACUCCUACGGGAGGCAGCAGUGGGGAAUAUUGGACAAUGGGCGCAAGCCUGAUCCAGCCAUGCCGCGUGAGUGAUGACGGCCUUAGGGUUGUAAAGCUCUUUUCUCCGGGACGAUAAUGACGGUACCGGAGGAAUAAGCCCCGGCUAACUUCGUGCCAGCAGCCGCGGUAAUACGAAGGGGGCUAGCGUUGCUCGGAAUCACUGGGCGUAAAGGGCGCGUAGGCGGCGUUUUAAGUCGGGGGUGAAAGCCUGUGGCUCAACCACAGAAUGGCCUUCGAUACUGGGACGCUUGAGUAUGGUAGAGGUUGGUGGAACUGCCAGUGCACACGUGAAAUUCUGAUAUAUGCG
rnacentral:rRNA from 1 species